rnacentral:ncRNA from 2 species
CCGGAGGGCCGUGACUGGCGCGUUCGGAUGGGUCACCAUCGGGGAGCGGUCCCACCCAUCAGACGGGUGAAUUGCCGUGCGCCUGGGCCUCUUCA